UGUUUAAUGUUGUAACGGUUUUUCCAGUUUCCCUACGUUUUCCCCGGGGUUUUCCCAUGUUUUAUACCGGUUUUUCGAACUUGGUGAGAAAAAUUUUGAGAAAAUCGAAAAACGACCGCCAUAAAGUACCCCCCACACCGAUUUCAUUUCAGAAAAGGUGCCACUCACUUAGAAAUCCGAGCAGGUCUUCUGGUAGAAAAGUUGUCGACA